rnacentral:rRNA from 1 species
GGCUCAGGACGAACGCGGCCGGCGUGCUUAACACAUGCAAGUCGAACGGUAAGGCCCCUUCGGGGGUACACGAGUGGCGAACGGGUGAGUAACACGUGAGCAACCUGCCCUUGACUCUGGAAUAACAGCUGGAAACAGCUGCUAAUACCGGAUAUGACCUCUUACGACAUCGUACGGAGGUGGAAAGCUCCGGCGGUCAAGGAUGGGCUCGCGGCCUAUCAGCUAGUUGGUGGGGUAACGGCCUACCAAGGCUUCGACGGGUAGCCGGCCUGAGAGGGCGACCGGCCACACUGGGACUGAGAUACGGCCCAGACUCCUACGGGAGGCAGCAGUGGGAAUAUUGCACAAUGGGCGCAAGCCUGAUGCAGCAACGCCGCGUGCGGGAUGACGGCCUUCGGGUUGUAAACCGCUUUCAGCUCCGACGAAGCGCAAGUGACGGUAGGAGCAGAAGAAGGACCGGCCAACUACGUGCCAGCAGCCGCGGUGAUACGUAGGGUCCGAGCGUUGUCCGGAAUUAUUGGGCGUAAAGGGCUUGUAGGCGGUUUGUCGCGUCGGAAGUGAAAACUCAGGGCUUAACCCUGAGCGUGCUUUUGAUACGGGCAAACUAGAGGGAUGCAGGGGAGAACGGAAUUCCUGGUGGAGCGGUGGAAUGCGCAGAUAUCAGGAGGAACACCGGUGGCGAAGGCGGUUCUCUGGGCAUUUCCUGACGCUGAGAAGCGAAAGCGUGGGGAGCAAACAGGCUUAGAUACCCUGGUAGUCCACGCCGUAAACGGUGGGCACUAGGUGUGGGACUCAUUCCACGAGUUCCGUGCCGAAGCUAACGCAUUAAGUGCCCCGCCUGGGGGAGUACGGCCGCAAGGCUAAAACUC